UACGUAGGGUGCAAGCGUUGUCCGGAAUUAUUGGGCGUAAAGAGCUCGUAGGCGGUCUGUCACGUCGGCUGUGAAAACCCGAGGCUCAACCUCGGGCCUGCAGUCGAUACGGGCAGACUAGAGUUCGGUAGGGGAGAUCGGAAUUCCUGGUGUAGCGGUGAAAUGCGCAGAUAUCAGGAGGAACACCGGUGGCGAAGGCGGAUCUCUGGGCCGAUACUGACGCUGAGGCGCGACAGCGUGGGGAGCAAACAGG
rnacentral:rRNA from 1 species